UACGUAGGGGGCGAGCGUUGUCCGGAAUCAUUGGGCGUAAAGAGCGUGUAGGCGGCUUGGCAAGUCUGACGUGAAAGCCCGCGGCUUAACCGCGGAUUGUCGUUGGAAACUGCCUCGCUAGAGUCCGGAAGAGGAGAGCGGAAUUCCUGGUGUAGCGGUGGAAUGCGCAGAUAUCAGGAGGAACACCGAUGGCGAAGGCAGGUCUCUGGGCCACUACUGACGCUGAGAAGCGAAAGCAUGGGGAGCGAACAGG
rnacentral:rRNA from 1 species